UUACGAGGUCUGUGUUUUUCGUAGGGUAGGGUAGGGUCUGUGUGUUACGUAGGGUCUGUGUUUAACGUAGGGUAGGGUUAGGGUCUGUGUUUUACGUAGGGUAGGGUUAGGAUCUGUGUUUUACGUAGGGUAGGGUUAGGGUCUGUGUUUUACGUAGGAUAGAGUUAGGGUCUGUGUUUUACGUAGGGGUAGGGUUAGGGUCUGUGUUUUACGUAGGGCUGGUGUUAGGGUCUGUGUUUUACGUAGGCUGGUGUUAGGGUCUGUGUUUUACGAGGCUGGUGUUAGGGUCUGUGUUUUACGUAGGCUGGUGUUAGGGUCUGUGUUUUACGUGGGCUGGUGUUAGGGUCUGUGCUUUACGUAGGCUGGUGUUAGGGUCUGUGAUUUACGUAGGGUAGGGUCUGUGUUUUUACGUAGGGUCUGUGUUUUACGUAGGGUUGGGUCUGUGAUUUACGUAGGGUAGGGUUAGGGUCUGUGUUUUACCUAGGUUAGGGUCUGUGUUUUACCUAGGGUAGGGUUAGGGUCUGUGUUUUACGUAGGGUAGGGUUAGGGUCUGUGUUUU